UACGUAGGGGGCAAGCGUUGUCCGGAUUUAUUGGGCGUAAAGAGCGUGUAGGCGGCCAGGUAGGUCCGUUGUGAAAACUCGAGGCUCAACCUCGAGACGUCGAUGGAAACCAUCUGGCUAGAGUCCGGAAGAGGAGAGUGGAAUUCCUGGUGUAGCGGUGAAAUGCGCAGAUAUCAAGGAAGAACACCCGUGGCGAAGGCGGCUCUCUGGGACGGUACUGACGCUGAGACGCGAAAGCGUGGGGAGCGAACAGG
rnacentral:rRNA from 1 species